rnacentral:rRNA from 1 species
CCUACGGGUGGCAGCAGUCGAGAAUCAUUCACAAUGGGGGAAACCCUGAUGGUGCGACGCCGCGUGGGGGAAUGAAGGUCUUCGGAUUGUAAACCCCUGUCAUGUGGGAGCAAAUUAAAAAGAUAGUACCACAAGAGGAAGAGACGGCUAACUCUGUGCCAGCAGCCGCGGUAAUACAGAGGUCUCAAGCGUUGUUCGGAAUCACUGGGCGUAAAGCGUGCGUAGGCUGUUUCGUAAGUCGUGUGUGAAAGGCGCGGUCGCAACCCGCGGACGGCACAUGAUACUGCGAGACUAGAGUAAAGGAGGGGGAACCGGAAUUCUCGGUGUAGCAGUGAAAUGCGUAGAUAUCGAGAGGAACACUCGUGGCGAAGGCGGGUUCCUGGACAUUAACUGACGCUGAGGCACGAAGGCCAGGGGAGCGAAAGGGAUUAGAUACCCUAGUAGUC